GACGAACGCUGGCGGCGUGCUUAACACAUGCAAGUCGAGCGGUAAGGCCCUUUCGGGGGUACACGAGCGGCGAACGGGUGAGUAACACGUGGGUGACCUGCCCUCAGCUCUGGGAUAAGCCUGGGAAACCGGGUCUAAUACUGGAUAUGACUCCAUGACGCAUGUUGUGGGGUGGAAAGCCUUGUGCGGCUGAGGAUGGGCCCGCGGCCUAUCAGCUUGUUGGUGGGGUGAUGGCCUACCAAGGCGACGACGGGUAGCCGGCCUGAGAGGGCGACCGGCCACACUGGGACUGAGACACGGCCCAGACUCCUACGGGAGGCAGCAGUGGGGAAUUUUGGACAAUGGGGCAACCCUGAUCCAGCCAUGCCGCGUGAGUGAAGAAGGCCUUCGG
rnacentral:rRNA from 1 species